AUUGAACGCUGGCGGCAUGCUUUACACAUGCAAGUCGAACGGUAACAGGCCUUCGGGUGCUGACGAGUGGCGAACGGGUGAGUAAUGCAUCGGAACGUACCCAGAGGUGGGGGAUAACGCAGCGAAAGCUGUGCUAAUACCGCAUGUGAUCUGAGGAUGAAAGCGGGGGACCGAGCAGCAAUGUUUGGCCUCGCGCCUUUGGAGCGGCCGAUGUCGGAUUAGCUAGUUGGUGGGGGAAAGGCCUACCAAGGCGACGAUCCGUAGCUGGUCUGAGAGGACGACCAGCCACACUGGAACUGAGACACGGCCCAGACUCCUACGGGAGGCAGCAGGGGGGAAUUUUGGACAAUGGGCGCAAGCCUGAUCCAGCAAUGCCGCGUGCGGGAAGAAGGCCUUCGGGUUGUAAACCGCUUUUGGCAGGAACGAAACGGUGUCCGCUAAUACCGGGCGCUAAUGACGGUACCUUCAGAAUAAGCACCGGCUAACUACGUG
rnacentral:rRNA from 1 species